rnacentral:rRNA from 1 species
CCCUUAGAUGUCCUGGGCCGCACGCGCGCUACACUGAUGCAUUCAACGAGCUUUACCUUGGCCGAUAGGCCUGGGCAAUCUUUUAAACCUGCAUCGUGAUAGGGAUAGAUUAUUGCAAUUAUUAAUCUUGAACGAGGAAUUCCUAGUAAACGCAAAUCAUCAAUUUGCAUUGAUUACGUCCCUGCCCUUUGUACACACCGCCCGUCGCACCUACCGAUUGAAUGGUCCGGUGAAGCCUCGGGAUUGUGGCCAGUUCACUUUAUUGGGAGUUGGCUGUGAGAACUUGUCUAAACCUUAUCAUUUAGAGGAAGGUGAAGUCGUAACA